rnacentral:rRNA from 1 species
GGGAAUUUUGCGCAAUGGGGGAAACCCUGACGCAGCAACGCCGCGUGGAGGAUGAAAUCCCUUGGGACGUAAACUCCUUUCGAUCGGGACGAUAAUGACGGUACCGAUAGAAGAAGCCCCGGCUAACUUCGUGCCAGCAGCCGCGGUAAUACGAGGGGGGCAAGCGUUGUUCGGAAUUAUUGGGCGUAAAGGGUGCGUAGGCGGCCCCGCAAGUCUUGUGUGAAAUCCCUAAGCUCAACUUCGGGACUGCACGAGAAACUGCUGGGCUGGAGUAUGGGAGAGGUGAGUGGAAUUCCUGGUGUAGCGGUGAAAUGCGUAGAUAUCAGGAGGAACACCUGUGGCGAAAGCGGCUCACUGGACCAUAACUGACGCUGAGGCACGAAAGCUAGGGGAGCAAAC